UACGUAGGUGGCAAGCGUUGUCCGGAAUUAUUGGGCGUAAAGCGCGCGCAGGUGGUUUCUUAAGUCUGAUGUGAAAGCCCACGGCUCAACCGUGGAGGGUCAUUGGAAACUGGGGAACUUGAGUGCAGGAGAGAAGAGUGGAAUUCCACGUGUAGCGGUGAAAUGCGUGAGAUGUGGAGGAACGCCAAGUGGCGAAGGCGACGUCUUUGGCCU
rnacentral:rRNA from 1 species